rnacentral:sRNA from 1 species
AGGCUUUUUUGGCCCCUGCCAGAGACAGAAGGGGGUCAAAGAGAAAGGGAAAGGAGCAAGCCAGGAAGCCAGACAACAACAGCAUCAAAACAAGGCUGUUUCUGUGUGUGAGGAACUUUGCCUGGGAGAUAAAAUUAGACCUAGAGCUUUCUGACAGGGAGUCUGAAGCGUGGGACAUGGACCGUUCACUGGGAUGGCAAGGGAAUUCUGUCCCUGAGGACAGGACUGAAGCUGGGAUCAAGCGUUUCCUGGAGGACACCACGGAUGAUGGAGAACUGAGCAAGUUCGUGAAGGAUUUCUCAGGAAAUGCGAGCUGCCACCCACCAGAGGCUAAGACCUGGGCAUCCAGGCCCCAAGUCCCGGAGCCAAGGCCCCAGGCCCCGGACCUCUAUGAUGAUGACCUGGAGUUCAGACCCCCCUCGUGGCCCCAGUCCUCUGACAACCAGCAGUACUUCUGUGCCCCAGCCCCUCUCAGCCCAUCUGCCAGGCCCCGCAGCCCAUGGGGCAAGCUUGAUCCCUAUGAUUCCUCUGAGGUAGAGCCUCCAGCCCUGCAUUUGCCUUUCAGUGGGCUGCUGCAGGAAGACCGGGGGCAGGGAGCAGAGUGUGUGUGUGUGUGUGUGUGUGUGUGUGUUUGUGUGUGUGUGUGUAUCUGGGACCUCUUUCAGUCCUGUGUCAGCCCUAGCUCCAAGAUAUCUGCCCCCAAGGGCACUGGAAAUUUGCAGUUUCAGCAAGGGCAGGAGGCCCAGCUGGUGGCCUCAGAUGGGAACUCACAGAAGUCUGGCACUGCUUUUUUAAGGCUGGGGCAAAGGCCUGAAAGGGAGAGAAGAUUGGCGCUGGGUGCUGGGGCCCCUUUGGCUCCUCACCGUGACGCAUUCUGCCUUCCUGUCUACUAGGAUGACAAGGAAUAUGUGGGCUUUGCAACCCUCCCCAACCAAGUCCACCGAAAGUCCGUGAAGAAAGGCUUUGACUUUACCCUCAUGGUGGCAGGAGAGUCUGGCCUGGGCAAAUCCACACUUGUCAAUAGCCUCUUCCUCACUGAUCUGUACCGGGACCGGAAACUUCUUGGUGCUGAAGAGAGGAUCAUGCAAACUGUGGAGAUCACUAAGCAUGCAGUGGACAUAGAAGAGAAGGGUGUGAGGCUGCGGCUCACCAUUGUGGACACACCAGGUUUUGGGGAUGCAGUCAACAACACAGAGUGCUGGAAGCCUGUGGCAGAAUACAUUGAUCAGCAGUUUGAGCAGUAUUUCCGAGACGAGAGUGGCCUGAACCGAAAGAACAUCCAAGACAACAGGGUGCACUGCUGCCUGUACUUCAUCUCACCCUUCGGCCACGGGCUCCGGCCAUUGGAUGUUGAAUUCAUGAAGGCCCUGCAUCAGCGGGUCAACAUCGUGCCUAUCCUGGCUAAGGCAGACACACUGACACCUCCCGAAGUGGACCGCAAGAAACGCAAAAUCCGGGAGGAGAUUGAGCAUUUUGGAAUCAAGAUCUAUCAAUUCCCAGACUGUGACUCUGAUGAGGAUGAGGACUUCAAAUUGCAGGACCAAGCCCUAAAGGAAAGCAUCCCAUUUGCAGUAAUUGGCAGCAACACUGUAGUAGAGGCCAGAGGGCGGCGAGUUCGGGGUCGACUCUACCCCUGGGGCAUCGUGGAAGUGGAAAACCCAGGGCACUGCGACUUUGUGAAGCUGAGGACAAUGCUGGUACGUACCCACAUGCAGGACCUGAAGGAUGUGACGCGGGAGACACAUUAUGAGAACUACCGGGCACAGUGCAUCCAGAGCAUGACCCGCCUGGUGGUGAAGGAACGGAAUCGCAACAAACUGACUCGGGAAAGUGGUACUGACUUCCCCAUCCCUGCUGUCCCACCAGGGACAGAUCCAGAAACUGAGAAGCUUAUCCGAGAGAAAGAUGAGGAGCUGCGGCGGAUGCAGGAGAUGCUACACAAAAUACAAAAACAGAUGAAGGAGAACUAUUAACUGGCUUUCAGCCCUGGAUAUUUAAAUCUCCUCCUCUUCUUCCUGUCCAUGCCGGCCCCUCCCAGCACCAGCUCUGCUCAGGCCCCUUCAGCUACUGCCACUUCGCCUUACAUCCCUGCUGACUGCCCAGAGACUCAGAGGAAAUAAAGUUUAAUAAAUCCGUAGGUGGC